rnacentral:rRNA from 1 species
AGCGUUGUCUGGAAUCACUGGGCGUAAAGCGUGCGUAGGCGGUUGUGUAAGUCUGAAGUGAAAGUCCAAGGCUCAACCUUGGGAUUGCUUUGGAAACUGCAUGACUUGAGUGCUGGAGAGGCAAGGGGAAUUCCCACGUGUAGCGGUGAAAUGCGUAGAUAUGUGGAGGAAUACCAGUGGCGAAGGCGCCUUGCUGGACAGUGACUGACGCUGAGGCACGAAAGCGUGGGGAGCAAACAGGAUUAGAUACCCUGGUAGUCCACGCCGUAAACGAUGAGUGCUAGGUGUUGGGGGGACACACCCCAGUGCCGAAGGAAACCCAAUAAGCACUCCGCCUGGGGAGUACGGUCGCAAGACUGAAACUCAAAGGAAUUGACGGGGGCCCGCACAAGCAGUGGAGCAUGUGGUUUAAUUCGAAGCAACGCGAAGAACCUUACCAGGGCUUGACAUCCCUCUGACCGGUGCAGAGAUGUACCUUCCCUUUGGGGCAGAGGAGACAGGUGGUGCAUGGUUGUCGUCAGCUCGUGUCGUGAGAUGUUGGGUUAAGUCCCGCAACGAGCGCAACCCUUGAUCUGUGUUACCAGCACGUGAUGGUGGGGACUCACAGGUGACUGCCGGCGUAAGUCGGAGGAAGGCGGGGAUGACGUCAAAUCAUCAUGCCCUUUAUGUCCUGGGCUACACACGUGCUACAAUGGGCGGUACAACGGGAAGCGAAGCCGCGAGGUGGAGCCAAACCUAAAAAGCCGUUCGUAGUUCGGAUUGCAGGCUGCAACUCGCCUGCAUGAAGCCGGAAUUGCUAGUAAUCGCGGAUCAGCAUGCCGCGGUGAAUCCGUUCCCGGGCCUUGUACACACCGCCCGUCACACCACGAGAGUCGGCAACACCCGAAGUCGGUGAGGUAACCAUGAUGGAGCCAGCCGCCGAA